UACGAAGGGAGCUAGCGUUGUUCGGAAUUACUGGGCGUAAAGGGCGCGUAGGCGGUUUGGCAAGUUGGAUGUGAAAGCCCAGGGCUCAACCCUGGAAUUGCAUUCAAGACUGCUUUACUUGAAUUCGGUAGAGGUUGGUGGAAUUCCCAGUGUAGAGGUGAAAUUCGUAGAGAUUGGGAAGAACACCCGUGGCGAAGGCGGCCAACUGGACCGACAUUGACGCUGAGGCGCGAAAGCGUGGGGAGCGAACAGG
rnacentral:rRNA from 1 species